ncrna:Photobacterium angustum S14 manA RNA
GCUUUAGGCGACGGCUUGAAGCGGGGAGUGCAGAGAAUAAUAGUAUUCAGCGACUAUAAUCUGGCUUAUCACGGGUUGUGCCGACCUAACUUGCGGUGACGUUAAGUUAGGACAUCGCCGACAUGGCGGGAUUAAGGUUCAAUGAGAUCGGAGCUGACUCAUUGUUGUAGGUAUUCCAAAGUCCUACCUCCCACCUU